GGGGAUGUAGCUCAGUGGUAGAGUGCCCUUGGGUUCAAUCCCCAGUAUCUCCA
rnacentral:tRNA from 1 species